GAACCGUACGAACGUUAUUCGGAAUCACUGGGCUUAAAGGGUGCGCAGGCGGCUUGUCAAGUUGGGUGUGAAAUCCCUCGGCUCAACCGAGGAAUUGCGCUCAAAACUGGCAGGCUUGAGGAAGACAGAGGUGAGCGGAACUCAGGGUGGAGCGGUGAAAUGCGUUGAUAUCCUGGGGAACACCAGUAGCGAAGGCGGCUCACUGGGUCUUUUCUGACGCUCAGGCACGAAAGCUAGGGGGAGCGAACGGGAUUAGAUACCCCGGUAGUCCUAGCUGUAAACGAUGAGCACUGGGUUGGAGGGUCCUCCAUAGCCUUCCAGCCGUAGCGAAAGUGUUAAGUGCUCCGCCUGGGAGUAUGGUCGCAAGGCUG
rnacentral:rRNA from 1 species